rnacentral:lncRNA from 1 species
UAAGGAAUUACUAAUUAACUAUUGUCCAAAUUGAUGUUCUGAACUUAGAAUCACUCCAUGUUGCUCAUACUUAUGCAUCCAUCCAUGCAAAGAAGAGAUGGAUUAAGAUGCGGGCUCUAAGAACAUUACAAAAAGAAAAGAACAGAAAGUUGCAGGCUCUGUGGCUGCAUGCCCUGUUAAUCCAUGGUGCAGUUUGACGUCGCGUAGAGGAGGAGCAGCCGUACAAGGCCGGCGGCCGUUGCUGCUGGAUACGUGCACGGAGGCGGAGGCCAUGCGGCUCGAGGACUACGCGGGACGACCUGCACAAGCAGGUGGACGGACUGACGGAGUCGAGCACGGCGUCGGCUUCUGCAAUCCGCACCAUGGACGAGCUGCUGCUGUCGGAGGCGGCGAAGGGAAGGGUCGUCCCAUCCCGUCCGCGCCGUGGUGUACGACGUGUCCCUUCAGUCGUGGUCAGAGGAGCUGCAGCGGCAACGCGGUGGCCGGCUGCAGAGCACAAGCAGCAGCAUCAAAGCACAUCACGGCAACACGGUGGCCGGCGGCAGAACACACGCCGGAAUGUAGCCGCCGCGGGAGGGGGAGCAGGAUAGAGAAGACUCACCUCGCCGGUCAGACUCGCCGGGAUGUAGUCCCCGCGGAAAACCAUGGCCAUCGGCCGUCGAGGACUACCGAGCGCGACUCGCCGUCGAGUAGCCGCCGCGGUCUCCUGGCGUUGCUGCCGGCGAGAGGAAGGGGAUGAGUCGUUCCUGGUCAAUCUGGGAGCAUGGGCAUUUUGGUCAUUAUAUGCGGGA